rnacentral:rRNA from 1 species
CCUACGGGAGGCAGCAGUAGGGAAUAUUUCUCAAUGGGCGAAAGCCUGAAGCAGCAACGCCGCGUGGAGGAUGAAGGUUUUCGGAUUGUAAACUCCUUUUGUUAGAGAGGAUAAUGACGGUAUCUAACGAAUAAGCAUCGGCUAACUCCGUGCCAGCAGCCGCGGUAAUGCGGAGGGUGCAAGCGUUAUCCGGAAUCACUGGGCGUAAAGAGUGCGGAGGCGGGAUAUCAAGUUAGAUGGGAAAUCCUAUGGCUUAACCAUAGAACUACAUUUGAAACUGUUAUUCGCGAGUGGGGGAGAGGUAAGUGGAAUUUUUGGUGUAGGGGUGAAAUCCGUAGAGAUCAAGAGGAAUACUCAUUGCGAAGGC